rnacentral:lncRNA from 1 species
AUGACUCAGCAGGGUGCCUGGAAUGCCCUGGGUUCUUGCCACUCAGGAGCUAGGGACACAGAGCCAGACAGCUGUGGUACAGAGAAAGAAGGGAGAGAGUUCUGUACAGGAGGCUUUUGUUUUGUAGCCCCUGAUCUCCAUAUGGGAUUCUCUUGGAAUCUUGGAGCUGUUUGGCCUGUUGAGUCAGAGAGAAGAAAUACUCUGGAAUUUACUUGUCUGAGAGAUCCAGCAAGUCAGAAGACAUCAUCAACAGCAUUAACCAACUGUGCAUCUCAAAACUGAGCUAUCAUACAGGGAGCUGACUUCAUAGAUGACUGCACAAGUUAAAGGUGCUUCUUUGCCUCCUGUUGAUACAUUAGUGGGAUCUGCUCAUCAAAUGUAGGAUUCCCAGGUUGCCAAUUUGAAAGAUGCUCUUACUCUUCUUUGGAAAUGAUCAGUUUUGGAAAAAUGUGUUGUUUUAUUUAAUCACACAUAUUUUUCAUGUAAAAAUAGUUUAGACUCCUUCAAAUAGUGUUUUUAAUUUCUUUCUGUAACCAUUUCCAUAUAGACACAGGCCUGGACAAUCAAGUAGAAAGAAUUUCUGUAAUAUACACAUCAUAGUCACAGCACCAACCACCCUUCAACUAUAAUAUUUCCUUAAAGACAUCAUUUAAACCUAACCCAAUCACUAAUAUAUUUAGGCUAGAGUUCUUAGCAACUAAAUGAAGCAUUACAUAAGAUAGGAACCUAACACUAUAUGAUUAGAAAUUGUAUCAUGUUGUCCUUGCAAGGCCAGAUUUUGUGCUGAAUAGAAAAGUGAGCCCAAUUUUAGAAACCAUCUAUCAAGAUUGAAAUAGCCUAAUCCUUCAUGCUUCAUUUUACCACCUGUUCUGUUACCAAUGAUGACAUGGAUCACAAAGACAGUAGCCUGAUGGAUAUCCAUUUACUUUCAAGAAGUUUUAGAAAUUCUUGGAUAAUUUUUCAAAAGGGCCAGGCCUGGUGGUAUACAUUUAAAAUCCCACUUAGGAAGAAGAAGCAGGAAAAUCAAAAGUUUAGUUUGUAAAAUUUAAUGAGACCCUAUGUACACAUAAAAAUUUAAAGGUGAGCUUACGAUGUGGAUUUUUAGUUGAGUGCUUGUCUAACAAGUACAGUAUCCUAGAUCCAAAACACAGUACACCCAUCUUCCAUUUUAAAUGCUCUCUCCCUCUAUGUAUAUGUAUAUGAAUAUAUGUGAAUAUCUACAUGUAUGUACAUGAAUAUAUGUGAAUAUCUGCAUAUCUGUCUAUGUGUAAGCAUUUAUAAAGACUAUACUGAUAUAACCAACUCUGUACAUAAACUAUGAUUACCUAAACGAACAGCUGGAUUUUCUGACAAGAGUGAUAUUCAUAAGAACGUGUCUAUGAGAAUUGUUUAUUGAUAGUUGUACUCUUCAAUAGUAAAAAUAUAAGACUACUUUGUGACCAUAUAUUUGUAAAGAAGAGUGUUAAAGAUCAGAAAACAAGCCUGCUGUCUCUUGCAUGCCAGCUUCACUACAGUGGGAAAAUAAAUUUGGAGGCAAUCUUGAUGUGAGGAGUUGAAUUUGCUUAUAUUUAAAGUCAGAGAAAACUUCUUACUUGACUAGUCUGCUGGACUUGAGACAGAAUGCUAAGUCCUGAUAGUUUUGAGGGAAAAUUACUCUCUGUGGUUCAUGAGCCUUUGGAAGGCACAGGCUGUACUACUUGCCAGCACUUGAAGGGGUGCCAGACGUUUAAUAGGCACCCAACCACAGCUUGAGUGGAAAAAAAAAUGUUAUCUGUGUAAUUGGUACUAUCACUUCCAAAGACAAUGCAGAACAUUUCUUUCUUCUUCUUUUAUUCCCUACCUCCUUCUAUUCUUCCUUCCUUCCUCCUAUUCUUCCUUCCUUCCUUCCUUCCUUCCUUCCUUCCUUCCUUCCUUCCUUCCUUCCUUCCUUCCUUCCCUCCUUCCUUCCUCUCUCUCUCCCACCCUUCCCUCUUUCCUUCCUUCCUACAUCCCACCUCUCCUUUCUUUCUUCCUAUCUUUUCUUUAGCAUCUCUUUCCUUUUGUUUUUAGAUGUUUCUUCAGAUCUUAUUUUUGAAACAGUGCCUUUCUGCACAGACAAGGCUACUAUUAAACUUGUGAUCCUCCUGCCUCAAAUCAGACUAUAUAAACAAUGGUUCUAGAAAGUAGUAGAAUUUAUAGACAUUAUUUCUUUUGGAAUACAUGAAACAAAACAGUGAAAGGUAUUCUGAACAAUCUAGAAUUUAUCCAAGAAAUGUAGAAAAAUGGGUUCAAGUGCUGUAACUAUGUAGAAAAUCUAGAUUGUAGGGAGGUGACAAUAUCUUACAUGUAAAAUGAAUAUAGUUUUCCCACAUGACCUGCACUAUACUAUUGAACUAGUUGAUAAAAUUACAAAGAUCAUAAUUGAUUGGUUGACUAACUGUUUUUUGAGAGGCUCUUAUUAUGUAGACUAGAUUGAUCAUUAAUUCAAUAAUACUCCUGCCUCAACCUACCAACAGGUAAUACUUUAUUAGAAUUUUCAAUAUGAGUUAUCUGAUGUUACCUGUGAAGGAAGUAACAUUGCAGAGGCAUCAUAAGAAUGUUGGAUUAAAAACUUGAUAUGGAUAGUGUAAAAGCCACUUUUUUUAUCAAGUGAGAAACAGAGUCAUUAUAAUAAAAGAUAACUCUCAGAUGUUAUUUCUUAGAGAAACAUGAAUAUCUUUGUACAUCUCAUAACUGUACUAAGAUUAUGCUAAAAGUAUAUGGCUUCAUUGUUUUAUAACAACUGGACCAAUUUGAGCCUUGAUUAGCUUGUUUUCUGAGGACAGAAAAAAUGGGCAUGGAUUUUAGGUUGAGCUGUAAACACAGAUUUUCUUACUUGAAUGGUAUUGAAAUGCUAGGAGUGCACUCAUUUGUUUGUUCUUUUUUUAAAUAAAUAUUUGCAUAUUA